rnacentral:rRNA from 1 species
AUGGUCAAAUGGUGGUGGAAGUUGGAGACCCAAAAUGGGUUAUGGCAGGAUAUUGUGCGUGCUAGAUACCUUAGAAACAAAACUGUCACUGAGGUUUGUGCCAGGUUUUCUGAUUCACCAUGCUGGAAAGCUCUAUUGAAGGUGAAAGAGGUGUAUUUGGCGGGGAGGAAAAUUAACAUAGAGUCUGGGAAUAUUGCCCAGGUGUGGAUAGAUCCCAUCGAUGGGCUGCUCCCUUUUCGGGAACAAUUCCCACAACUCUUCUCAAUACGCACUGAUCCUGAAUGCACGGUGGAUAAGAUGAGUCUUGUGGAAACUAACACCUUCUUCAGA